CCCGGGAGAGCGCCCGUGGGUGAGGGCGGGAGCGAGCGGGCGCUGGCCACGAACCGCUCCAGGCCCAGGAAAUGCAAGGCAGUGGGACGGAGAGGUGUGCCCACACCUCGGGCAGGAAGGAGUUCAGACAGGAAAUUCAGUACAAACUUCUACUGUGAAUGCAGAGUGACAUCUCCACCCAAGAAAGUAGACCUGCCCAAUGUCAGUCAUCCAGACUUGUGGCUGUCGUGUGACAGAUGACAGGAGAUGCUAUAAACUAGAAGCAGAAAAUCCAGUUGGGACACUAUUACAGAGGGCCAGACCUCUUCCGGGGCAGCAACAAAGACUUAGUCAUCUCUCUGCCCCCAAGACAUACCACAGCGCAUCCAGGCUUUCUAUAAAGGCUGGUGUGUUGAAUAAAUGACUGAACAAGAUGGGUUGAUAUUAGACUGGGGAGACUUUAGGGUAUAAAAUUAAGACAUUUGGACUUUAUCUUUUGAAUCAUGUGACCAAAAGCAUUUUAAAGCCAAGAAGUAACAGGAUGGACCCCUCUUUCAAACAUAUCUCCUCCUUGGGAGACAUUUCAUCAAAUAUUUAUCAAAUAAUUAUCACCUCCAAAUAUGCAGCUCCAUGCAGGCCUUCUCCUGAGCUCCAGAGUCACAUUGCCAGCUUCUUGCUAAGCCUCUGUAGGCCCAAAUCAGCAUGUCCAGACCAGCCCUCAUUAUCCUUCCCUCCCCUCAAAGUCACUCUUUCUAUAUUAUCUAGCUCACAGGCAUCCAAACUGGACAAUUUGAAUUAAUUCUGGAUAUUUCCCUCACCCCCAGGCCAAUUAGUCAUAAAGUCCUGUCAACUUGAACUUUGUCUAAUGUCCAUUUCGUUGGCCACUGACAUUUCAGGCUCUUGUACCUUUCACUUGGACUAUUGCGUCAGCCUGCUAAUCAAUCUCCCUGCCUCUAGUCUGCCCUCUCCAACUCCAGUCCAUCCGCCACUCUGAUGCUCAUCUUAUAGGCCUAAAAGCUGGAUCUGGUCAUGUCACCAUCUUAUU